CCUGGCUCAGAUUGAACGCUGGCGGCAGGCCUAACACAUGCAAGUCGAGCGGAAACGGCAGCAUUGAAGCUUCGGUGGAUUUGCUGGACGUCGAGCGGCGGACGGGUGAGUAACGGCUGGGAACCUGCCCUGACGCGGGGGAUAACCGUUGGAAACGACGGCUAAUACCGCAUAAUGUCUUAGUUCAUUACGAGCUGGGACCAAAGGUGGCCUCUACAUGUAAGCUAUCGCGUUGGGAUGGGCCCAGUUAGGAUUAGCUAGUUGGUAAGGUAAUGGCUUACCAAGGCGACGAUCCUUAGCUGGUUUGAGAGGAUGAUCAGCCACACUGGGACUGAGACACGGCCCAGACUCCUACGGGAGGCAGCAGUGGGGAAUAUUGCACAAUGGGGGAGACCCUGAUGCAGCCAUGCCGCGUGUGUGAAGAAGGCCUUCGGGUUGUAAAGCACUUUCAGCAGUGAGGAAGGUGGUGUACUUAAUACGUGCACGGCUUGACGUUAGCUGCAGAAGAAGCACCGGCUAACUCCGUGCCAGCAGCCGCGGUAAUACGGAGGGUGCGAGCGUUAAUCGGAAUUACUGGGCGUAAAGCGCAUGCAGGCGGUUUGUUAAGUCAGAUGUGAAAGCCCGGGGCUCAACCUCGGAACCGCAUUUGAAACUGGCAGGCUAGAGUCUUGUAGAGGGGGGUAGAAUUUCAGGUGUGGCGGUGAAAUGCGUAGAGAUCUGAAGGAAUACCAGUGGCGAAGGCGGCCCCCUGGACAAAGACUGACGCUCAGAUGCGAAAGCGUGGGUAGCAAA
rnacentral:rRNA from 1 species